GGCAGGGGCGGCGUGCUAUACAUGCAAGUCGAGCGAGCUUGCCUAGAUGAUUUUAGUGCUUGCACUAAAUGAAACUAGAUACAAGCGAGCGGCGGACGGGUGAGUAACACGUGGGUAACCUGCCCAAGAGACUGGGAUAACACCUGGAAACAGAUGCUAAUACCGGAUAACAACACUAGACGCAUGUCUAGAGUUUGAAAGAUGGUUCUGCUAUCACUCUUGGAUGGACCUGCGGUGCAUUAGCUAGUUGGUAAGGUAACGGCUUACCAAGGCAAUGAUGCAUAGCCGAGUUGAGAGACUGAUCGGCCACAUUGGGACUGAGACACGGCCCAAACUCCUACGGGAGGCAGCAGUAGGGAAUCUUCCACAAUGGACGAAAGUCUGAUGGAGCAACGCCGCGUGAGUGAAGAAGGGUUUCGGCUCGUAAAGCUCUGUUGGUAGUGAAGAAAGAUAGAGGUAGUAACUGGCCUUUAUUUGACGGUAAUUACUUAGAAAGUCACGGCUAACUACGUGCCAGCAGCCGCGGUAAUACGUAGGUGGCAAGCGUUGUCCGGAUUUAUUGGGCGUAAAGCGAGUGCAGGCGGUUCAAUAAGUCUGAUGUGAAAGCCUUCGGCUCAACCGGAGAAUUGCAUCAGAAACUGUUGAACUUGAGUGCAGAAGAGGAGAGUGGAACUCCAUGUGUAGCGGUGGAAUGCGUAGAUAUAUGGAAGAACACCAGUGGCGAAGGCGGCUCUCUGGUCUGCAACUGACGCUGAGGCUCGAAAGUAUGGGUAGCGAACAGGAUUAGAUACCCUGGUAGU
rnacentral:rRNA from 1 species